AACGAACGCUGGCGGCAGGCCUAACACAUGCAAGUCGAACGCCGUAGCAAUACGGAGUGGCAGACGGGUGAGUAACACGUGGGAACAUACCCUUCGGUUCGGAAUAACUCAGGGAAACUUGAGCUAAUACCGGAUACGUCCGCGAGGAGAAAGAUUCAUCGCCGGAGGAUUGGCCCGCGUCUGAUUAGCUUGUUGGUGAGGUAACGGCUCACCAAGGCGACGAUCAGUAGCUGGUCUGAGAGGAUGAUCAGCCACAUUGGGACUGAGACACGGCCCAAACUCCUACGGGAGGCAGCAGUGGGGAAUAUUGGACAAUGGGCGCAAGCCUGAUCCAGCCAUGCCGCGUGAGUGAUGAAGGCCCUAGGGUUGUAAAGCUCUUUUACCCGGGAAGAUAAUGACUGUACCGGGAGAAUAAGCCCC
rnacentral:rRNA from 1 species